rnacentral:rRNA from 1 species
CCCUUAGAUGUUCUGGGCCGCACGCGCGCUACACUGAUGCAUUCAACAAGCCUAGCCUUGACCGAGAGGUCCGGGUAAUCUAUGAAACUGCAUCGUGAUGGGGCUAGAUUAUUGCAAUUAUUAAUCUUCAACGAGGAAUGCCUAGUAAGCGUGAUUCAUCAAAUCGCGUUGAUUACGUCCCUGCCCUUUGUACACACCGCCCGUCGCUCCUACCGAUUGAAUGUGUUGGUGAGGAGCUCGGAUUGGCAGCAGUUGGUGGUUCGCCACCGGCUAUUGCUGAGAAGUCCUCCAAACCGCCCCAUUUAGAGGAAGGAGAAGUCGUAACA